rnacentral:rRNA from 1 species
AACGAACGCUGGCGGCAGGCCUAACACAUGCAAGUCGAACGCUCCGCAAGGGGAGUGGCGCACGGGUGAGUAACACGUGGGAACCUACCUUCUGGUACGGAACAACCAAGGGAAACUUUGGCUAAGACCGUAUACGACCUCCGGGUGAAAGAUUGAUCGCCGGAAGAGGGGCCCGCGUCCGAUUAGGUAGUUGGUGAGGUAACGGCUCACCAAGCCUUCGAUCGGUAGCUGGUCUGAGAGGAUGACCAGCCACACUGGGACUGAGACACGGCCCACGACUCCUACGGGGAGGCAGCAGUGGGGAAUAUUGGGACAAUGGGCGCAAGCCUGAUCCAGCCAUGCCGCGUG